UCAUUGGUGGUUCAAUGGUAGAAUUCUCACUUUCCAAGCAGCAGACCUGGGUUCGACUCCUGGCAAAUGCA
rnacentral:tRNA from 1 species